rnacentral:rRNA from 1 species
CGGGGUGCAGCAGGCGCGAAAACUUUACAAUGCUGGCAACAGCGAUAAGGGGACCUCGAGUGCCAGGAUACAAUCUUGGCUGUCGUGAUGCCUAAAAAGCAUUACAUAGCAAGGGCCGGGCAAGACCGGUGCCAGCCGCCGCGGUAACACCGGCGGCUCGAGUGGUAACCGCUAUUAUUGGGUCUAAAGGGUCUGUAGCCGGCCGGAUAAGUCUCUUGGGAAAUCCAGCAGCUCAACUGUUGGGCUUCCAGGGGAUACUGUUCGGCUCGAGGCCGGGAGAGGUGAGAGGUACUUCAGGGGUAGGGGUGAAAUCUUGUAAUCCUUGAAGGACCACCAGUGGCGAAGGCGUCUCACCAGAACGGUCCUGACGGCAAGGGACGAAAGCUAGGGGCACGAACCGGAUUAGAUACCCGGGUAGUCCUAGCCGUAAACGAUACUCGCUAGGUGUCAGCCACGGUGCGACCGUGGUUGGUGCCGUAGGGAAGCCGUGAAGCGAGCCACCUGGGAAGUACGGCCGCAAGGCUGAAACUUAAAGGAAUUGGCGGGGGAGCAC